GGCUAUGUAGCUCAGUUGGUUAGAGCAUCGCACUCAUAAUGCGGGGGUCACAAGUUCAAGUCUCGUCAUAGCCACCA
rnacentral:tRNA from 1 species